GACGAACCGUGCGAACGUUGUUCGGAAUCACUGGGCUUAAAGGGCGCGUAGGCGGGCUGUCCAGUCUGGGGUGAAAUCCCGCGGCUCAACCGUGGAACUGCCUCAGAUACUGACGGCCUCGAGGGAGAUAGGGGCAUGCGGAACUGUAGGUGGAGCGGUGAAAUGCGUUGAUAUCUACAGGAACUCCGGUGGCGAAGGCGGCGUGCUGGAUCUCUUCUGACGCUGAGGCGCGAAAGCUAGGGGAGCAAACAGG
rnacentral:rRNA from 1 species